AAAGAAUACAAGCCAAACACACACUCUCCAAGCACUAGCAGUGGCAGUAUAUACUACUAGGAGAAGAUGAUGUUCCUGCCUUCUUCUCCACGCGGAAGUUACCGGGAGUACCUUGUGCAACUGCUUGCUGCCAUCGUCAUUGGACUGCUCACGAUACCUAGCGCCGUUUCUCCUACUUCACUACCUGUUGAUCAGCAUCGCUGUGUUGAUCCCGACCGCUGUCUCCAGUAUGGCCUCCACAUAAAAUGUGAUCUGCUGUAGAAGCUACAUACAGCCACGUGCAUACAAGGGCACACUUCUUUCCACUCAUCUCCAGCCGCCGUACGUCUUCGUGUGUGUGCUCGUCACAACACCAUAGACUAGAAAAACAAACGAGCUACUACUACUUGAAAUGCAUACUAGUUAAUAAAGUGAACCUUUUCUGCUCUCGUUUGUUCUAGAAAUAUUUUCACAUUGCUUGAAUGCUUGAUUGACAUGAAACAUGUCUUGGGCUAAUACACUAGUACACAGAUGUUCUAUAGCGACGGUUGUGAACAUAUUUACACUAUCGUUUUUCAGAACUGCCAAUGUUGUACAUCACAGAUAUCACAUAAUCAUCACAUACAUAAUAGAGACCACAUAUUUCACCAAAAAACACAAAUCUCACAAUUUUUUCACAAACAUGUCUAUGUUCAUACCAAGUUUCACCAACAUAAGUAUUACCAACUCUAAAACAUAAGUUUUUCACAAACAUAAGUUCAGAACAAGUUUAUCACACAAAGUCUCACAAUGACCACUAAGCUAAGAGAAGAUCAUCAGCGAGGUGGGCAGCUGGACUGGUGAGGCGAUGGGCUGGGCGAUUCAUGAGGGUUAUUGGAUGCCACCCCAAAUUGUUCCUGCAUAGAGCAGAGAUUGCAUGUGUUAUACCAGAUAAAUAUAUAUUAUGCAAGACUAAAAUUUUGAUACUCACAGGAGUAUGGAACUGAGCAAGGUCAACUGGAGGGAACAACGGAGGUGGUGGAGCAAAACCUUGUGCGGCGCCAAGGCUCUGCAUGUACUGAAACAUCUCUGCCAUCCUCUAUUGAUCUGCCAACCGGGCCUCCCACUCCGCCAUCAUCCUCGCCCCCAUCUCAUGUCAUUCCCUCCUCUCUUCUUCUAGCUGGGCAUGUAAUAUUUCAACCUAAAGUUAUAAUAACUCAAAGAGAAGGUAUAUAACUCAA